AGAAUACGGUCAUCUCUGCAUGCAGUUCAACAAAUGGUGGGCUAUGUUAGCCAGAAUGUUCAACUGACAAUUAAGAAUGAAAAUACUCUGGCAGAUCUCAAUCAAGGCUGGAAAAUUUUCUUCACUGGACAAAAAUGAAGAAAAUCAACUGGAUCUCUUCACAUACAUUGCAAGGAACU